GAUGAACGCUAGCGGCAGGCCUAAUACAUGCAAGUCGGACGGGAUUCAGGAGCUUGCUUCUGAUGAGAGUGGCGCACGGGUGCGUAACACGUAUGUAACCUACCUUUAUCAGGGGGAUAGCCUCUCGAAAGAGAGAUUAAGCCCGCAUAAAAUCACAGCACAGCAUUGUGUAAUGAUCAAAUAUUUAUAGGAUAAAGAUGGGCAUGCGGAACAUUAGCUAGAUGGCGGGGUAACGGCCCACCAUGGCGACGAUGUUUAGGGGAUCUGAGAGGAUGGCCCCCCACACUGGUACUGAGACACGGAACAGACUCCUACGGGAGGCAGCAGUAAGGAAUAUUGGUCAAUGGGCGGAAGCCUGAACCAGCCAUGCCGCGUGCAGGAAGACGGCCCUACGGGUUGUAAACUGCUUUUAUACGGGAAUAAACCCAGAUACGUGUAUCUGGCUGAAUGUACUGUAAGAAUAAGGAUCGGCUAACUCCGU
rnacentral:rRNA from 1 species